CCUACGGGAGGCUGCAGUGAGGAAUAUUGGUCAAUGGACGAGAGUCUGAACCAGCCAAGUAGCGUGAAGGAUGACUGCCCUAUGGGUUGUAAACUUCUUUUAUAUGGGAAUAAAACGUUCCACGUGUGGGAUUUUGUAUGUACCAUAUGAAUAAGGAUCGGCUAACUCCGUGCCAGCAGCCGCGGUAAUACGGAGGAUCCGAGCGUUAUCCGGAUUUAUUGGGUUUAAAGGGAGCGUAGGUGGAUUGUUAAGUCAGUUGUGAAAGUUUGCGGCUCAACCGUAAAAUUGCAGUUGAAACUGGCAGUCUUGAGUACAGUAGAGGUGGGCGGAAUUCGUGGUGUAGCGGUGAAAUGCUUAGAUAGCACGAAGAACUCCGAUUGCGAAGGCAGUUCACUGGACUGCAACUGACACUGAGGCUCGAAAGUGUGGGUAUCAAACAGGAUUAGAUACCCGUGUAGUC
rnacentral:rRNA from 1 species